UACGUAGGGUCCGAGCGUUGUCCGGAGUACUGGGCGUAAGGCGCGCGCAGGUGGUCCAUUAAGCCCGGCGUGAAAGCCCCCGGCUCAACCGGGGAGGGUCGUCGGGGACUGGUGGACUUGAGGGCGGCAGGGGCUGGUGGAAUCCCCGGUGUAGUGGUGAAAUGCGUAGAGAUCGGGGGGGAACACCCGUGGCGAAGGCGGCCAGCUGGGCCGACCCUGACACUGAGGCGCGAAAGCUAGGGUAGCAAACGGG
rnacentral:rRNA from 1 species